AUUGAACGCUGGCGGCAGGCCUAACACAUGCAAGUCGAACGAGUCGCGGACGUGUGAGUUAUGUCUGGGACACUUCCUGAUGGAUGGGUAUAACUACUGGACACUGUUGCUACUUCCGCAUUCCAUCAGAUGUGCCCAGAUGGGAUUAGCUAGUUGGUGGGGUAACGGCUCACCAAGGCGACGAUCCCUAGCUGGUCUGAGAGGAUGCACAGCCACACUGGAACUGAGACACGGUCCAGACUCCUACGGGAGGCAGCAGUGGGGAAUAUUGCACAAUGGGCGCAAGCCUGAUGCAGCCAUGCCGCGUGUGUGAAGAAGGCCUUCGGGUUGUAAAGUACUUUCAGCGGGGAGGCGUUACCCGCAGAAGAAGCACCGGCUAACUCCGUGCCAGCAGCCGCGGUAAUUC
rnacentral:rRNA from 1 species